rnacentral:misc_RNA from 1 species
UCUCACUAAAUAAAGUCUGGCAAACUAAGUCUAGUUGGUGAUCCUAGGGACAAAGAAUUAAUAACACAAAAGAGAACCCAAAAAACAAAAAACCUACAAAUUAUCUUACGACUAAAUGGAUCAAGUUUCAAACAUGACAAAGAAUCAAUAAAAAAAUGCACUGCAAGUUUCAACAGCUCCUUCCCACCAAGAUUUGAGUAAAAACUACAUUUACCUUAAGACCUAGCGGCAAAUAUUGAACAUCCUUUAGUUUUUGUUGAAGAGCUACAAUCACAUUUUCUUCUGACUUCAACCCAACACAUUAUAGAACAUAAACCGCAAUCUUCUAUUUUUAGAAGAUAAAAAGGAAAAAAGAAAAAGGAAUUUUUAGGGUUGGGAAGAAAAGGGAAGAAAAAGGCCGCCCACCCGGGAAUAAAAACAAGUUGGUUCCUUGCGGAUUCUGCGACAGCCACAUGCGGACCUUGAUAGAUAUUACCAUGUGUUACAGAUUGAAGGGGCAUUUGAUAUGUGAGGAAUCGGUGUAGCCUCCACCUAAAUGGUUGGUGGGAAUGGAAAAGAAAUCUUCUCCAACAGCAACCCAAAAGAGUUAACCAAGCAAAUACAUUUCUCGUUGGACCGUCUUUAUGCAUAGUACAUGUACAAGCUGUUUGCA